UUCGCAAUGCCCGAAAGGGUGACGAAGCGACGCCGCGUGGGUGAGGAAGGCCUUCGGGUUGUAAAGCCCUGUCAGGAGUUAAGAAAUGUAAGUGCGCUAAUAUCGCAUUUAUUUGACGAAGGCUCCAAAGGAAGUCACGGCUAACUCUGUGCCAGCAGCCGCGGUAAUACAGAGGUGGCGAGCGUUGUUCGGAAUUAUUGGGCGUAAAGAGCACGUAGGUGGGUUUGUAAGUCAGAUGUGAAAGCCUCCUGUUCAACGGGAGAAUUGCAUCUGAAACUGCUGAUCUUGAGUAUAGGAGGGGAGAAUGGAACUUCUGGUGGAGCGGUGAAAUGCGUAGAUAUCAGAAGGAACGCCGGCGGCGAAAGCGAUUCUCUGGCCUAUUACUGACACUCAGUGUGCGAAAGCUAGGGGAGCAAACGGGAUUAGAUACCCCGGUAGUCCUAACUGUAAACGAUGGGCACUAAGUAGAGGGGUUUU
rnacentral:rRNA from 2 species